rnacentral:rRNA from 1 species
AUGAACGCUGGCGGCGUGCCUCAUACAUGCAAGUCGAGCGAACAGACGAGGAGCUUGCUCCUCUGACGUUAGCGGCGGACGGGUGAGUAACACGUGGAUAACCUACCUAUAAGACUGGGAUAACUUCGGGAAACCGGAGCUAAUACCGGAUAAUAUAUUGAACCGCAUGGUUCAAUAGUGAAAGACGGUUUUGCUGUCACUUAUAGAUGGAUCCGCGCCGCAUUAGCUAGUUGGUAAGGUAACGGCUUACCAAGGCAACGAUGCGUAGCCGACCUGAGAGGGUGAUCGGCCACACUGGAACUGAGACACGGUCCAGACUCCUAAGGGAGGCAGCAGUAGGGAAUCUUCCGCAAUGGGCGAAAGCCUGACGGAGCAACGCCGCGUGAGUGAUGAAGGUCUUCGGAUCGUAAAACUCUGUUAUUAGGGAAGAACAAAUGUGUAAGUAACUAUGCACGUCUUGACGGUACCUAAUCAGAAAGCCACGGCUAACUACGUG